UAGGGAAUCUUCGGCAAUGGCGAAAGUCUGACCGAGCAACGCCGCGUGAGUGAAGAAGGUUUUCGGAUCGUAAAACUCUGUUGGUAGAGAAGAACGUUGGUGAGAGUGGAAAGCUCAUCAAGUGACGGUAACUACCCAGAAAGGGACGGCUAACUACGUGCCAG
rnacentral:rRNA from 1 species